rnacentral:rRNA from 1 species
UACGUAGGGUGCAAGCGUUGUCCGGAAUUAUUGGGCGUAAAGAGCUCGUAGGCGGUUUGUCGCGUCGGCUGUGAAAACUCGGGGCUCAACCCCGAGCCUGCAGUCGAUACGGGCAAACUCGAGUGCGGUAGGGGGAGACUGGAAUUCCUGGUGUAGCGGUGAAAUGCGCAGAUAUCAGGAGGAACACCGGCGGCGAAGGCGGGUCUCUGGGCCGUAACUGACGCUGAGGAGCGAAAGCGUGGGGAGCGAACAGG